AAAGUCGUUAAGAGGACGUGAAACCGGUGAGGUGGAAACGGAUAGAGUCGGCGUAUCAUUCAAUUAUUCAGUUACAUUAUUUUUAUGUUGUGACCUCUGAGCUCCAGAUUGGGACAGAGGGAAUCAGCAUAAUUUUUUGUGGUGCAUUUACUUGAUUGGUGCUUGGGGAUGUUUGAGGCAGAUUUGUUUCCGUCGUUUUGAGGCCAGCUUGCUGGUACCCAAACGGUGUUAGCAUUUUUUGUCUUGGGCAUUUGAGUAUGGCUCACGUGUAUUUAUUGGACAGAUCUGAGUGUAAGUUACGGUCGCAUGCGACACGUGCUUUUCAAUUAGUUCGGUCCAGUUAAUGCUCUCGUACUCGUUCCCCAUGUAAAAGCCGGUCAUCUAUCCGACCCGUCUUGAAACACGGACCAAGGAGUUUAUCGUGUGCGCAAGUUUUUGGGUGUUAAAAACUUAAAAGCGAAAUGAAAGUAAAUGACUCUUUAGAGUCUGAUGUGCGAUCUUGUAAAAAAGUGUAGCAUGGCCCCAUUCUAACUGUUUACAGUAGGGUGGCGGAAGAGCGUACGCGGUGAGACCCGAAAGAUGGUGAACUAUUCCUGAGCAGGACGAAGCCAGAGGAAACUCUGGUGGAAGUCCGAAGCGGUUCUGACGUGCAAAUCGAUCGUCUGACUUGGGUAUAGGGGCGAAAGACUAAUCGAACCAUCUAGUAGCUGUUCCCUUUCCGAAA
rnacentral:rRNA from 1 species